GAAAGCCGUGUGCAAUGAAAAGUGCAAGCACGGCUUGGAAAGGGAUUUUUUUCUACCUAUUUUUUAACAGACAAGGAAAAUUUCUACUCUAU
rnacentral:ncRNA from 1 species